UACGUAGGGGCCUAGCGUUGUCCGGAAUCAUUGGGCGUAAAGAGCUCGUAGGCGGUUCGGCAAGUCACGUGUGAAAUCUCCACGCUUAACGUGGAGGCGCCACGUGAAACUGCCGUGACUCGAGUCCGGUAGGGGAGUGUGGAAUUCCCGGUGUAGCGGUGAAAUGCGCAGAUAUCGGGAGGAACACCAGUAGCGAAGGCGGCACUCUGGGCCGGUACUGGACGCUGAGGAGCGAAAGCGUGGGGAGCGAACGAGG
rnacentral:rRNA from 1 species